rnacentral:rRNA from 1 species
GGUUGCGGACAGUGUCUGGUGGGUAGUUUGACUGGGGCGGUCUCCUCCCAAAGAGUAACGGAGGAGCACGAAGGUUGGCUAAUCCUGGUCGGACAUCAGGAGGUUAGUGCAAUGGCAUAAGCCAGCUUGACUGCGAGCGUGACGGCGCGAGCAGGUGCGAAAGCAGGUCAUAGUGAUCCGGUGGUUCUGAAUGGAAGGGCCAUCGCUCAACGGAUAAAAGGUACUCCGGGGAUAACAGGCUGAUACCGCCCAAGAGUUCAUAUCGACGGCGGUGUUUGGCACCUCGAUGUCGGCUCAUCACAUCCUGGGGCUGAAGUAGGUCCCAAGGGUAUGGCUGUUCGCCAUUUAAAGUGGUACGCGAGCUGGGUUUAGAACGUCGUGAGACAGUUCGGUCCCUAUCUGCCGUGGGCGCUGGAGAAUUGAGGGGGGCUGCUCCUAGUACGAGAGGACCGGAGUGGACGCAUCACUGGUGUUCGGGUUGUCAUGCCAAUGGCACU